ACAGGAAGCAGCUUGCUGCUUCGCUGACGAGUGGCGGACGGGUGAGUAAUGUCUGGGAAACUGCCUGAUGGAGGGGGAUAACUACUGGAAACGGUAGCUAAUACCGCAUAACGUCGCAAGACCAAAGAGGGGGACCUUCGGGCCUCUUGCCAUCGGAUGUGCCCAGAUGGGAUUAGCUAGUAGGUGGGGUAACGGCUCACCUAGGCGACGAUCCCUAGCUGGUCUGAGAGGAUGACCAGCCACACUGGAACUGAGACACGGUCCAGACUCCUACGGGAGGCAGCAGUGGGGAAUAUUGCACAAUGGGCGCAAGCCUGAUGCAGCCAUGCCGCGUGUAUGAAGAAGGCCUUCGGGUUGUAAAGUACUUUCAGCGGGGAGGAAGGGAGUAAAGUUAAUACCUUUGCUCAUUGACGUUACCCGCAGAAGAAGCACCGGCUAACUCCGUGCCAGCAGCCGCGGUAAUACGGAGGGUGCAAGCGUUAAUCGGAAUUACUGGGCGUAAAGCGCACGCAGGCGGUUUGUUAAGUCAGAUGUGAAAU
rnacentral:rRNA from 1 species